ensembl:snRNA U1 U1 spliceosomal RNA
AUACUUACCUGGCAGGGGAGAUACCUUGAUCACGAAGGAGGUUUUCCCAGGGUGAGGCUCAUCCAUUGCACUCCGGGUGUGCUGACCCCUGCGAUUUCCCCAAAUGCGGGAAACUCGACUGCAUAAUUUGUGGUAGUGGGGGACUGCGUUCGCGCUUUCCCCUG